UCUCUCUCCCCGUCCCUCCCAGUGCUCCCCCAUCUCAGGUUCCCUCUCAGCCAUCAAUGGGAUUUGGUCCAACUCCGGGCCCUGGAGGGAAUCCAGGCCCUCACAGAAAGCAGCGGGCCGUCGAGUCCUUUCCGACCCCGAGAGACCCCGUGGACGCACCUUCUUUGAGACGUCCCAUCUUCUGCCGUAAAGUCCCACCGGCCGCUGCUGCCCAGCGCGGGGGAAUCGACUCGGACGCUUCAACUCUCCGAUAUGCGUAGCCCUGUGUGGCGUAACUCUAAGCUUCAUCAGAGGACGCAAACUCUCCUGCCAUGGUAAGCGUCAAUUCAUAGAAGAUUGCCUACCCAUCCCCUGAAAAUAUUCAAGCUGGGUCUCUCUCCAUGAUGCAUCCUAAAUGGAUGGGAAUUCUGUUGAUUCUUCUUUCUACAGAAUCAUUGCCUUAAUAAUAUUUGCCAUUCCUCUUAUCUAUUUCAAAACCCAUUCGGAGCUCUAGCCGUGGCGUCCGCUGGCCUCAUGGACUCGGGUGGUUCCGGAAUCCCGGGGAAGCCGAGGGAGGGAGAGGGAGUCCUGGCUCCCCGGAGCUUCCCGCAGCCAACUUCGGAAGUGGGGGGGAGCUUACUUU